rnacentral:tRNA from 1 species
GGGGGUGUAGCUCAGAUUGGUUAGAGCGCCGGCCUGUCACGCCGGAGGCCGCGGGUUCGAGUCCCGUCACUCCCGCCA